UACGUAGGGGGCAAGCGUUGUCCGGAUUCACUGGGUGUAAAGGGCGCGCAGGCGGGUUGGCAAGUCAGAGGUGAAAUCCUACAGCUUAACUGUAGAACUGCCUUUGAAACUGUUAAUCUUGAGUGCGGAAGAGAGAGACGGAAUUCCAGGUGUAGCGGUGAAAUGCGUAGAUAUCUGGAAGAACACCAGUUGCGAAGGCGGUCUCUUGGUCCGUUACUGACGCUCAGGCGCGAAAGCGUGGGGAGCAAACAGG
rnacentral:rRNA from 1 species